ACUGUGAUUCACUUUUGGAAAUUCUCACCUUUUUAAAUUGCUGAUGUGGAUUAUGAAAGUGAAAGAAUGUUGAUGGUAGCCCAGGGCCAAAGAGUCUUUCAAUUAUUCUUCCCUUCUUCCAGCCCUAGCUGGCUGAGGCACAGAAAAAGUCUGCUGUCAGCUCUCUGGAAAUGUGUGCCCCAAAUGAAUAGAUGGUUCUAAGAUGGAUUCUCUGGGACAAGAUCUUGCUCUGCUCUCUAUAAUGGCCAAAGGCUGGAGUUCAUUUGCAGAGGAAGCUCUGAGACAAGAGAUAUUAGCACUGGAAUUGAUGGGCAUGGCUCAAUCAAACAGGUGUAAAACUAGAGGGUGGUGCAAAGACAAAGCAGUGGACAUCAUGCUCCUGGAUUUGAGAACUAUCUUGAAAUAGAAACCAUAUAGACAUUAAGGAUCUUAAUUUAAAAAGGCAAGGAAGAAGACUGAUCGCUCAGCUUCUCAGUGCCUUAAGGCAUCGUUUAAAACACCUUAAAUGCAUCUCUGUGCAUCCAAAGCACUGAAGCACAAAGGACUUUCCAAGCUAUUACACUAAACAGUCACUUUUCCCUCUGCUCUGGGAACAUGAAACAACACAGACUUGAGUGGAAGCCAGCAUACCCUUCAAGAAUGGUCCCAUGGCUUGACUCUCCUAGGACGUGGGAACACUCUAACUGCAAAAUGGAAAAUGUUUGAGAACAGGACGGGGAAGCUGAGCUCAGGAUCUCUCAGGGGAGGCCAGUGCCGUGCUGAGGAGAGAUUUGACACCUGUACCACGGUGGCUUAGCAUCAUGCAGCCGGAUGAACACUUGGUGUAGGCGUUUGUUAACCAAUGCAGCUCAUAGGUGGAUGUGACACCAGUGUCUGUAGUCCAAGUACCCAGAGGCUGAGGCAGGUGCUCCAUGGCUAAAUACUGAGUUCCAGGACAGCCUGAGAUAAGAAGCAAAAGCCUGAUUUAAACAAACA
rnacentral:lncRNA from 1 species